AGUACAUCGCAGAGAAUCUGGGUCCGCUAUCGCUCAUACGAGCGGUACACUCAAAGACGCAAACACGAAUGUAUAUACUCCGAAAUACGACCACUCCGAGGGAAUGACUACAGAUUUGACCAACAUUACGAGGUUGCCAGUUCUUGGCAAAGCCAGCAACUCUACGCAAGACUGAUCGAUGUUGGAGGAGGCCAGCCACCUAGAAUGCGUAUCAGCCGGCAACUAGGAGGCACGGGCGUUCACUAUACUCUCCUUUUCUGGGAUUCUACGGAGCACUGCGCUAUUUUAUCACUGACGUCGAAUGGUAAGAAAAUCAUCAACAUAUCGCAACUAUGACCUCAGCAGGCCAGAGAAAGAAAGAGAGAAAAGAAAGAAAGUGUCGCGUACGUUAACAAGCAAAGCGUCUUCUUGAAUCGCACAUCCUACGCGGGAGGACAACAGGCCUGUAGAAAGCAAGGA